GGGGCUGAUUCUGGAUUCGACGGGAUUUGCGAAACCCAAGGUGCAUGCCGAGGGGCGGUUGGCCUCGUAAAAAGCCGCAAAAAAUAGUCGCAAACGACGAAAACUACGCUUUAGCAGCUUAAUAACCUGCUUAGAGCCCUCUCUCCCUAGCCUCCGCUCUUAGGACGGGGAUCAAGAGAGGUCAAACCCAAAAGAGAUCGCGUGGAAGCCCUGCCUGGGGUUGAAGCGUUAAAACUUAAUCAGGCUAGUUUGUUAGUGGCGUGUCCGUCCGCAGCUGGCAAGCGAAUGUAAAGACUGACUAAGCAUGUAGUACCGAGGAUGUAGGAAUUUCGGACGCGGGUUCAACUCCCGCCAGCUCCACCA
rnacentral:tmRNA from 43 species